rnacentral:lncRNA from 1 species
UCUGAAAAACAUUUUUUCUGAAGUACUUAUUUUGGCCGUGGAAAAAUGUCCAUCUUAUUGUAUUUAUUUUUCUAAUAAUUUUAAUAUAUAAUACUCCUAUAUUCUGAGUAUAUUUUAUUUCCUUUUAACUGUUUUAUCCUCUGCUUAGUAUCAACUUCACACACACACCCAUUUAGUAUCAACUGCUUUGAUCCUCUCUCUUUAGGAAGACUACUAAUAGUUUCCGCAGCAUUAGCACACAUAGCUUCUAAAGCACGACGGAGGCGUUUUGAUGGUGGCAAAGCAGCUUCCACAUCCAAUGUUAAACCCCUUGAUUGGUACUCUUUAUUCUUCCAAACAGAGUUACCAUCCCCUCGAAGGACAUGCAUGUUUUUGUUUUC